rnacentral:rRNA from 1 species
GAGGGAUGAAGGCCUCUGGGCUGUAAACCUCUUUUAUCAAGGAAGAAGAUCUGACGGUACUUGAUGAAUAAGCCACGGCUAAUUCCGUGCCAGCAGCCGCGGUAAUACGGGAGUGGCAAGCGUUAUCCGGAAUUAUUGGGCGUAAAGCGUCCGCAGGCGGUCUUGUAAGUCUGUCGUUAAAGCGUGGAGCUUAACUCCAUUUCGGCGGUGGAAACUACAAGACUAGAGUGUGGUAGGGGCAGAGGGAAUUCCCGGUGUAGCGGUGAAAUGCGUAGAUAUCGGGAAGAACACCAGUGGCGAAGGCGCUCUGCUGGGCCAUAACUGACGCUCAUGGACGAAAGCCAGGGGAGCGAAAGGGAUUAGAUACCCCUGUAGUCCUAGCCGUAAACGAUGAACACUAGGUGUCGGGGGAAUCGACCCCCUCGGUGUCGUAGCCAACGCGUUAAGUGUUCCGCCUGGGGAGUACGCACGCAAGUGUG